rnacentral:rRNA from 1 species
GACGAACGCUGGCGGCGGGCUUAACACAUGCAAGUCGAACGGAAGGGCCCUGCUUUUGUGGGGUGCUCGAGUGGCGAACGGGUGAGUAACACGUGAGUCACCUGCCCUUGACUUUGGGAUAACUUCAGGAAACUGGGGCUAAUACCGGAUAGGAGCUCCUGCUGCAUGGGGGGGGUUGGAAAGUUUCGGCGGUUGGGGAUGGACUCGCGGCUUAUCAGCUUGUUGGUGGGGUAGUGGCUUACCAAGGCUUUGACGGGUAGCCGGCCUGGGAGGGUGACCGGCCACAUUGGGCCUGCGAUACGGCCCAGACGCCUACGGGAGGCAGCAGUGGGGAAUAUUGCACAAUGGGCGGAAGCCUGAUGCAGCAACGCCGCGUGCGGGAUGACGGCCUUCGGGUUGGAAACCGCUUUCGCUUGUGACGAAGCGUGAGUGACGGUAAUGGGUAAAGAAGCACCGGCUAACUACGUG